rnacentral:tRNA from 1 species
ACAACCGUAGCUUAACUGGAUAGAGCGCUCCGCUACGAACGGAGUAGGUGGAGGUUCGAAUCCUCUCGGUUGUGCCA